AUACUUAUCUGGACAAGGUAUGGGUGAUCUCAGUAAAGCCUAUGGCCUAGGCUAGUGACUUCUAUUGCACUUGGGAUGAGUGCUCGUCUAAGGUUUCCCUAAGUUGGAUAGCCUACUUUAUAAACUGUGGAUGUGGUGGGUUGUGUUCGCGCGGUCCUCGU